UCGUGGCUGGCUGGUAGGCAGUGUCUUGUUAGCUGGUUGGUGCUCUGAGUACCAGCUUACCUGCUGCUGCCCUCCAACUGUCCAUUUC